rnacentral:rRNA from 1 species
UGCGCAGGCGGUUUUGUAAGACAGAUGUGAAAUCCCCGGGCUUAACCUGGGAACUGCGUUUGUGACUGCAAGGCUAGAGUACGGCAGAGGGGGGUGGAAUUCCUGGUGUAGCAGUGAAAUGCGUAGAUAUCAGGAGGAACACCGAUGGCGAAGGCAGCCCCCUGGGCCUGUACUGACGCUCAUGCACGAAAGCGUGGGAGCGAACA